rfam:Enterobacter cloacae SCF1, complete genome.
ACGGGAUGCUCCUCUUAUGUGAGCUAAAUCACUUCAAACUUUCGACCUCAGUCAGUAUGAUGGUCGAACGAUUAAACCCUCGCCUUCCCCCGGCGAGGGUUUUCUUUUGGA